rfam:Enterococcus italicus DSM 15952 genomic scaffold SCAFFOLD1, whole genome shotgun sequence.
UUUCGUUGCAAGUUCCCGAAAGGAUUCGCAUAUGAACGAAUAGCGAAGAUGCCUUGUAACCGAAUCGAAAUUUAGGGGGAAUAAAAAAUG